CACCGUCGAGUCAUCAAAGCCGUCAACUAAUUCAGAGGGGCUCGGCUGGCCCGGUCGCCCUACGCUACUGGCGCUUCCAAAGGCGAAGCUCUCGUCUUUGGCGACCAGCAAACUCUGGGCUAAAACCUGUAGUUUUGAAGCAAGGGAUGAGCGUGAAAGCCGUUGCGCUUCCGUACACGCGCAUACGUUUUCUUGCUCCGUCGCGCGUUAGUACAAUAACGCGCAGCCGUUUUCUUGCUGGGGCGGACACGGAUUUCUCUCUAAAGGCGAAGACUCAGAAGUGGGCGAACACUCAGCCCAGCGGGCGAACAUGCCGGCUCCGGCUCCGCGCACCUGCUGACACCUUUCGAAGCACUUUCACGUGUGAACCGAAGUCGUCUUGCCGAACUCCUUCCUUUCUCAUUUCAGUCCUCGCCUUUUUCAUCUUCCGUAGGGGCCUUUAGUCUUUUGAUUAGAGUAGAGGUCGCGAGAGAGCAGAGCGUACCGCCCUGCCAUAGUCGCGAGGAUCUUAAUAGUCGGUCGCGACUGUUGUCAUAGUCAACGACGGUUGAAACUUCUAGGUCA
rnacentral:lncRNA from 1 species